rnacentral:rRNA from 1 species
AUUGAACGCUGGCGGCAGGCCUAACACAUGCAAGUCGAACGAGUGGCGGACGGGUGAGUAAUGUCUGGGAAACUGCCUGAUGGAGGGGGAUAACUACUGGAAACGGUAGCUAAUACCGCAUACCAUCGGAUGUGCCCAGCUGGGAUUAGCUAGUAGGUGGGGUAAAGGCUCCCCUAGGCGACGAGCCCUAGCUGGUCUGAGAGGAUGAACAGCCACACUGUAAAUGAGACACGGUCCAGACUCCUACGUGUGCCAGCAGUGGGGAAUAUGGAACAAGGGGCGCAAGCCUGAUGCAGCCAUGACGCGUGUAUGAAGAAGGCCUUCGGGUUGUAAAGUACUUUCAGCGGGGAGGCGUGACCCGCAGAAGAAGCACCGGCUAACUCCGUGCCAGCCGCCGCGGAAUUC